AUAUUUUGUUGCAGUUUUGAAAUGAUGACUCUGAGUGCAUUUGGCUCGAGACUUUCUGUCGGUGUGGAAAAACCCAAGCUACCUUAUUAUCAUUGGCUGAUA
rnacentral:snoRNA from 1 species